UGAUAAAUCGAUCCCUGAUAGAUCGAUCGCUACCUGCCGAUCCGGCAGGUAGUCUGGAUGUACCCCUAUAUGUUUGACACAGAUCUCUUCAGUGGAAUCCAGAAUUGACAAUGCAAUUCUGGACACUUUGGUUUAUCUGAUAGUUGACUGCAUCUGAGUAGGACAAUUUUUAAAGUGUGCUACUUAGCAUAUUUAAAAACUUUGCUAAAUAAAAGAAUAUUACCAAAAAUGUAUAGAUAGCACAAUAGUAUACAAAUAUAAUUUCAUUUAGAUAAUGCUAUCAGGCAGAGCCUGUUGGCAGCAAUGUUCUACGGGACAUCCUUAGCAUACUUUAUGACUCGCAUCAUCCUGAACUAGGAUGUCUGGAGCUGUUAUGAAUUAGUAUGAAAUCUGCUGUUUAAUAAAUGCUUUAUACUGCUUGUUUAGCAAUAUUCAGCAUCAGACUGUAAAGUUUCUCAUUAUGUGAGUCACCUGUAAGAUCACAUUCCUCCAGAUGUCUUGAAUGAACAUUUCUGUUUAGAAAACACCUGCAACUUGUUAAAGCUGCUGCACCCAUUCAUCUGAAAUGUAACCUCAGAACAGUUCCUACCCCUGUGCUUUCUUAGCCAUGCAAUGUUUUUAAUUUUCUUCCUGUUUGGUUUUUUUAAUUAGGUUGUGUCCCUACAGCCCAAAGCAUGUAAAUUAAUUUAAAUUAAUUGGAGUUAAGAAUCUGGCUUUAAAUUCUAUCUAAACAGAGUUCUUAUUAAAUCUGUUUCCAACUGCUUGACCAGCCAGUGUAGACAAACUGGUAGAAAUACAGGCUGGCCACAUUAUGUCCAAUAUUGUCCAGCCAAGUGGUGUCAGAGAAGCGUUCUGUUGGCUCCCUUCUUAUGCACUGUUUCCAAACUCUGUUACUAGCCCCUUUGAGAGAAGCCCAUGCUGCAAAGAAAUAUACAGAACAACUUGGUGUCCAGUGGUACAACUGCAAGGACAGAGUUGUGCAUAAUACAAACUUGAGGGGAGGUUUUUUCUUCAAGUGAUGCAUAAUUAACCUAUCAAAUGCCUGAAGUACUGUAUUAAAGCUUCAUCCUCCUUGUGCCCACUGGAUGGGCAUUCUUGCAAAUCCUGCCUUUCCUUGUGUUGCCUCUGAUGUGGGACUUGACAGAUGUCUAUUCACUGUGGACACUUCCUGGGCUUUUCAUUGGCAGCCUCCAUUUUACUGAGAGAAGGAGAAAUAUCACUGAAAAUCAUUAGACAAGUACCUGUCAAGUAUAACCUAGGAAUAUUUGGCCCCCAGUGCAGUGGGGUGGACUAGAUGACCUCUCGAGGUCUCUUUCAGACCGGCAUUUCUAUCAUGAAUUAGGAAAUACAUAUGUGCUGCUGGAUUACUUAAUCAACUAAAUAUUGACCUCUUUUGGUGGGACGGGGAAGGCUUCUUCUACAUAUGAUGAAGUCUCCCGUUGAGUUUGUGGGUCCUGUGAUGAGACCAAAGACUGAUUUUGGACCCUGCAGCCUCCUCCACAAGUGCCACAUGUAAAGACAAUUGUAAAUGAAUUAGUGCUGUUUUUAGCUUGUUAUAUCUCGCACGUCUCUCCUUGACUGCAGAAAUCCACAAGCUCUCAAAAUCUUCCAGUCUGAGGUGUGGCAGGGCUGCUGCUGUCAGAUCUUGUCAUGGGGGAAGAGCUCCCAGGUGCUGUGGUCACACUGUAAGAUUGGAGAUGGGACUAUGCCAAAAAAAAAUAAGACUUGAGAGAAAGGAGAUGGUGCCUUGUGCAACAGUAACUUCUUAUAUCUACAGUGACUUCCAUCUGGAGGCUCUCAACUCCUUUACGCCUGAGACAUUGAUGAAGAGCUGAGGCCCAGACUGAUGAAGUGACUUGCCCAACAUCACAUAAUGAGCACCUGAUGGACAAGAUUUCUUCCCAAUCAACACAGACCCUAUGCAUCUGUCCAUCAGUUGAAGAAUAUAAUUCCAUCUCUGCACCAGUACCCACUAGUGGAUCGGAAGAAUCUGUGGACUACUGAUACAGUUGGAGCUGUGCUAACAAUACUUUUGGCUUUGAACUUCCAGAUGCUACUUUUGUGUGGAGUGAACAGGCAGCCUUCAUUCGACUUACUUGAUUAAACAUAAUUUACAUUUCUCUGGAAUUUUUAACCAGAAAUAUCAGGUAUGUUCCAUUUCCUGCCUGGUUAGCCUCCCUAUACUUCCUUUUUUGCACUAGCUUUUUGAAAGCCACAAGAUUUUUUUCUUGAGUGUUCAGUUGCCCCCUAAUGGGCUUCAGGAAAAUAACAUCCUCAUAGCCACUGUGACCAACCUGCACUAGGACAUGCAAGAGCAAGGAAAAAAAUCUUACAGGCAUGUUCUAAGGAAAGACUGGAGUAACUCCACUAACUUCAGCAGAGUUACUCUGCAUUCACACUGGGGUCAUCAAGAUCAGAAUCUUGGCCUAUCUUCUAGGAGAGGGAACAAAGAUACUUGCCCUCAUCUGUGGCUAUGGCAGGGCUGCUUUCUUCUAAGUGUCUGCCCGGAAAGAAAGCUGAGGGCAGUCAAACCUUUCUCUAAUCCCCAAAGUGAAACAGCAUCUCUAUUCUCUGGAAACAUGCUUGUGGAAUUCUGGUCCUUAAUAGCAAUUUUUACUUUUUUUAGGGAGUAUGGUAUCAUGCUGUGCCUUGUGCUGCUCCUUUCUGAAGUGCAUAUAGAUAGUGUGUGGGGUAAAAGCCAUCAGACAUCUGUUUAAAAACAAUUUCUCCCAUAGACUCCCUGUAUCCCAAAUGCAGCUCCCAACAUCUCUUACCAAUCUAUUGGUAUUGUUAAACUAUUUAAACAAUAUUCUUCAUACUGGCCCUGCCCCACUCAAUUUCCAGUAGAGUUGGGAUUUGAUAUUUUUAAUACAAAAAUGUCCUUUAACAUGUAAGCUCCUGUCCCCUAUUGUUUGUUGCUACUUCUUGCAGCAUAGUUCCUGAACCUGUUCUAACAGGGAGGGAUGUUGUGGGGGUGGGGGGAAAGCUCUGAUCUGUAAUACUGCCCUUCCUUUCCAUAAAUGAGCAUGAAUUAUGAUCUACAGCAAAACCGAUUAUUACCCCCACCUUUGUACCAUGGUACAGGACUAAGUCCAGGAUCAAAUGGUAGAGCAAGAUGAGAAAUGAUGCCAACCCCAUUAAUUCCUGUUCAUAAUGUAUAACUUUCUUGAAAGUUCACUUUCAAGAACAUCUGUUUAAGACCAACUGCUGUGAAACAAUCUUCCCAUCAAGGUUUUCAUACAGUGACCUUUGUGUAUGGAUGGUGGGCAGAUCAGUGUGUAACUAAUGCAAAAAUACCCCCCUCUGCUCUCUAACUUGGUCUUAAUUACUAACCUCAAGGGAGGGGCUAACAGCUUUAGUCCAGAUGCUGCAUUCCUUUUCCAAGGGUGGUUGAAGUGUGUGUAGUUUCAAGAACUGCUGUUUUCACUAAUAUCCUCAAAUGAAUGAAAUAAGGUCUGAUAGUAACUUCUUCCCAAAAGUAAAUCUGUCAAGCAAUGCUUCAUUGAGGUUGAGAAGGCAGUUAACUGUUCUGUCUUAGUGGUGAAAAAGCAUAUGGGCAAUGCUCUUGAAAGUGUGCUAUUAAAAAAAAAAAAAAAAAACCUACACAGACUACACGUGCUUUAACUCACCUUCCUUUCAUCCU